GACGAACGCUGGCGGCGUGCCUAAUACAUGCAAGUCGAACGCUGAAGAGAGGAGCUUACUCUUCUUGGAUGAGUUGCGAACGGGUGAGUAACGCGUAGGUAACCUGCCUUGUAGCGGGGGAUAACUAUUGGAAACGAUAGCUAAUACCGCAUAACAAUGGAUGACACAUGUCAUUUAUUUGAAAGGGGCAAUUGCUCCACUACAAGAUGGACCUGCGUUGUAUUAGCUAGUAGGUGAGGUAAUGGCUCACCUAGGCGACGAUACAUAGCCGACCUGAGAGGGUGAUCGGCCACACUGGGACUGAGACACGGCCCAGACUCCUACGGGAGGCAGCAGUAGGGAAUCUUCGGCAAUGGGGGCAACCCUGACCGAGCAACGCCGCGUGAGUGAAGAAGGUUGUCGGAUCGUAAAGCUCUGUUGUAAGUCAAGAACGGGUGUGAGAGUGGAAAGUCCACACUGUGACGGUAGCUUACCAGAAAGGGACGGCUAACUACGUG
rnacentral:rRNA from 1 species